GCAGACAUUUUUGCUUUGCGAAAGCCUCAGCACCUCGAUGACAUUGGUUGCUGUAUCCCUCCGCGCAGCACAGCGACAUGAUGGUCCCACGCAGAGAGAUGCUGCAGGAGUCAGCACAUGUUUACCUCCACUUUAUCAACGACGCUUCAGACGGGAUGGAAACCAGGCAGAGUCAGCAACAGUGUGAGGACCCUUGACCUCCACAGGACAGGCCCUGAAGUCCAUGUUCAAAGCAUAUCCCCCUGCUGUCAUAAGAUUCUGCCAGAGAUGCCCCUUUAGAUGCCUUCUCCAGCUAAACUGGCUCUUCAACCCAAGGAAACCAGUUCAGAGAAAGGGGCUCAGGUGACCCAGGUUCAAGGCUCCAACCAAGAGAGGCUUUGCCAUAGCCUGCGGUUUACAAACUGACACAUAAUUCAGACUGAGUAGUUAGUGUCCAACGUUUUUGUUCAUUGCAUUAAAAAAUCUGAAGCUAAAUUGAUUUAUAUUCGCAAUUGAUUUUCGCAUUUUCUUUUACUUUGAAGGGUUCAAACCGGAAGUCUAUUUGUUGUUGUCGGAAGUCAGUCUGGCGUUUAUAAACGAGCUAAGCGCCAUGAGACUGACUCGCGUGCACUUGAGUGAUAAAACAAAGACAAGAUGACUGAAGACAACACAACUAGAGCAACCAACUCCACACUCGAGCGUGUUAUUGCUUGACAAGUUGAAAAGGGUCUAUGAAGUGAUAGAAGUGUCGCUACGUGUUGUACAUUUAAGUUUAAAGGUUUAAUUAUUCAACUGACACGAAGCUAGACUAUAAACUGAAAGGACCGCCUGGAAUUAAAUGCAAAAAGUCGGAAGCACGAUCCUUUCAUCACAAUUCGUGUGACAUAAUACUUUUUCUUUUUACUGAACAUGCAUCUUAAAUUACUAAUAAUAAAACAGGUUUAAAGUGUUAAACUGAAACGUUCAACAUCACUUAACAGCUCGUUUCUUUUAUAGACGUAUUCAGAAACAAUAUCGUCACGUCAGGUUUCAGCUUUUUCACAACAGCGGCUUUAGAUGCUAAAAUAAGUUAAUGACAACCACAAAACUAAUCACCUAAUGAUGUGUUUACUAUGUACAAGCAUAUUGUGUCUAAACGUGUCUUUUCCCAGCUAAACACAUCUCAAGACAGCUGAAAAACAACACUGCAGUUUAUAGUGUGGUCCUUUCAGUGGGAUGGAACUACUUUUUCCUGCACUGCAGUCAGGUUUGGCUUAUUUUGGCAAACUGUGCAGUUUGGAAAAGCUAAUUCUUGUUUUAUCAUUAGUAACACAAUGAUAUUUAUAUUUAUUUAAUAUUGAUGUUUGCACGAGGCUGCUGCACAAUGUACAGUACUUCCUUCUGGAUGUGUAUUUGUUAAAACCGUUUCAGGUACAGUAAGUUAUUACCCAAAGCUGGUUUACUGGUUUUACAAAAUAAUAUGUAUUGCCAUAUUAUAUAAGCUUACUGUAAGUAUAAAGUGUAAAAAGUGGAUUAUUUGUGUCCUGAGAAAAAACUGUGUUAACCUUAGCAGCACAUAGAGUGUUGGUCCAUCACAAGUGGUUUCCCAUCCUGUCUUAUCCAGAUGUUUUAACUGAACAGUAUAAUCAGUAUAAUCUGUUCCAGAACCACCAACACAUUUGGCAUUCGUUCAGAACACUCAUUCACGCAGAGAAAUCAACUCAAAGUAUUAUAUAAUACUAAUACCAGUGUUACUUUGUACUUACAACCAGAUCUUAAUAUAAAACAAGUAAACAUAGUUUGUUUUUUCAAGACAAAUUGUUUGAGGGUGGGUGGGGCAACAUACUGGGUGUAGGAACUCCAAGUUUAUGCCAAGGUAUAGAUUUUUAGACCACUUGACAUCAGCCAACAUCUUAUUUUUUUUUUAACUGUAAAGCCACAGUGUUUGUGAGACUGAAGCCUGAGAGUUUCAGCUUUGGGCCAAAAUUAUAUAAGUAACUAAAAAAAAGUAAAUAAAAAAAUAGCUAACCGUGCCAAGAACAAAGGGUACUGUGUGGACACUUGAGAUGGGAGUUCAAUUAUCUUAAAUUCCUUGUAAAGAGAUUCUGUCCAUUUUGUUUCUAUUUAGACAACAAAGGUAAAUCGACAUAUUCAAACAAAAUUUUCAACAAACUAAAACCUAUCUCCGCCUUGUGUUAUUAGUUCCAGACUGCCACCUGUUGGACAAACUCAGAUCUUCCAGAGUUCACCAACACGUCACAUGAUUUUAGUGCCCUGAUAAAAUAAAUAUAUAGAUAUAUAUAGAAAAACAUUUGGUCACUGUUUUAUUUUUUUCUUAUUAUUCUCUGUCAGACAAGGAAAAGUACAAAAGACUCCCAUGGUACAUUGUGUAUGAAAAAUAGCACAACUGUCAUAUUACACAUGUUUUAAUAGAAUUUAUGGAAACGCCCUGAUUAUGUAAUGAUUUAUUUUGUCUGUCUGUUCAUAGUAUGAUGAUGUCAGUGCAUUUUCAUUACAAGAGCAGGACACAGAAAAAAACAUGUUUGUCCAAAAGGUUAUUUUUAAUGGCAUUAUUUAUUAUAUGUAAUAAAAACUUUGUGGCUCAGUCAACUGACAUGGCGUCAUUAGCGUCCAGAUUCAUUCCUGUUUUUUAGUGUUUCUUGCUGUAUAGACAUGACAGUUCUAGGGAUAAUGAUCCUAUGUUGUAGGAGUAAUAUUUUGUUACGAUUAAAAUGUUUGUUUUGUCUUCUAGUUGAUAUGUUUUCUGCUUGUCAUCCUGCUAGUGAACCAUUUUCUGUUAUACAUCUGCUUCCUUUAUGUCAGGUUCCUUCAGGAGCAACAAGCGCCCCUCCACCAGCUAAGCCUUGUGAAAGUUUGUGCAGUGCAUCUGUCAAUCAUCUGAAUGAAGCCAUACACCAAGAGACUGAGAAGUUGUUCAGAAUGUUCUAUCUGAAAAAUUAUUAGUGAGAUUUUUCACUGACAUAUGCUUUUUUUAAUUUUCAAAUCAAGAAAAUCAAGUCUAAUUUGCAAAGAAGGCAGCUCUGCCUUUAUAGUCAAGGUGAGGGAGCACUGUUACUGUACAGGAUCCAUUUUAUUUUAUAUGGAAGUGAUUUUACCCAAACAAGUAAAUCAAAUGUUUAAUUUUAACAGAUUAAGUAUUAUAAACAUUGUUUCACGUUAAGGCAAGAGUAUGUUUACAUGUUUAAAUCUGUUUAUAUGUUCAGUUAUGAUAAAAGCUCCCUAGUAUUCUCCACCACUGAUGGAGCUUGUUGGGAAGAGCUCAUCAUCUUAUGGACUAUUAUCGUUUUCUCUGCAACUGUUACAAAUGUAGAUAACUUUACAAUUGUCCAUUUAAUUAAUUUGAAUGUCUGCAAAAGGAAUUUGCAUCAUUGUCUUGUCACUGCAUCAACUUACCUCAGAUAUAUUUUAGGUUUUAACUAAUUUUAUUGUUUUCAGUUUUGAGGAGAUGGAAGUCACCAUUGAAAAGGAAGAUGAUGACGACUGCAACCAUAUGAAUAUUGUGUAAUUGUAAAUUUAUACUGAAGUAUACUAUUAUGCAUCUGCGGCUCAUAUGGUUUUUUUAUCUAAUAGAUCUAAAGUAGGGAGUGAUUUGGAAAAACUCACUAAAAACACAGAACAGAGAGCUCCAGGAGCAGAUGACAGCGGUCAUGAAGACGUCAAUCUACCAGUAAUUCUUCUGUGGUAUUGUUGUGUCUUUGAUGGGUCUUGAUUUUAAGAACUUUAUUAAAAAUUAAUUGAUUGUAUCUGAUAUUUUAAUUAACUGGUGAUACCAAGCUCUUAUUUUAAUUACAGUGACUUUCUUAUGGAACACAAUAAAUCAAAUAAUGAUCCUCAUAAAGACUGGAAACAGUUAAUUAUUCUGAGUGAUGGAUGAGGCAUGUCAACAUAGUGACACUAACUAGGACUGAAUCAAAUAACUACCUCAUUCAACAUAGCUAUAAAAAACAGCCUGUCAUGCGAUGACAGAAUUUUUGUUUCAGGUCAGCAACAUCUGAGCUUUUACUGGAAUGUGAAGAGGAAGAUCUGGAGCCAUGGUAGAAACAACCCUCACAAGUUGACCUAAAAAAUGAAGAUGAUGUAGAGUGAGUCCAGUAUGUAACAGCAUUUUAGAAAGGAAACUGCUGCUGCAGCGUCUUAUUUACUCUGAUGUACAAGUUUUAACAAAGUGGCUAGUAUAGUUUACAGUGGCUUAUAUUGUUGGGUGAAUAUUCACAAAAAUAAUGCAUCCCUAAAAUUAGAUUUAAUUUGUUUGUUGAGCUACACAGUGUGUGGCUGCACAUUUUUUUCAAAAAUUGGCUAAUCCUGUUCUGUUUUUGUUAACAAUCAAGAUCAAAGAUCUGUGUUUUAUUAUUUCAUGUAACUUCUUGAUCAAUUAGUUCGGUAACAGUAAAAUCUGAAACCUAAACUGUGGUCACUUUUUCUGGGAUGCUGCAAAUCAACAACUCUUGUCCAUCUUCAAGACUCCUGCAGUGUUCAUCGUCAUCAUAAAACUGCUUUCAAUCCGGCUCCCAUCCCCUCUGUAUCCAUCACUCUGCCUUGUUUUACACUCCUGAACCUGAAUCAGCAAAUAAAACAAUCUUUAAUGAUGUUAGAGUGUGCUAACGUGACAAAACACACUUCAGUUGUUAAAGGUAAUGAAUGAACCACCUCACAUAAAUGUGUCAUCAAUUGUGUAAAGUACUAAAAAGUUGUACAUUUGCCCAUGUCUGACCUGAUGCUAAGAUGCCAAAUAGAAAUAAAUUGUAUCCACAAUCUAAAAAGGCAGGUUUUAUUAGUGUCUCCCAGAAUAAAUCUG